rnacentral:rRNA from 1 species
AAGUCGGACGGUCUCUGCUCUUCGGGGUGGGGACAGUGGCAGACGGCUGAGUAACACGUGAGGACCUAUCCAGUCGAGGGGGAUAGCCGCUCGAAAGGGCGGGUAAUACCGCGUAAGCCUGAGGGGGGUAGACCUUUUCGGGGAAAGCAGGGAGACCUGCGCGACUGGCGGGACUCGCGGCCCAUCAGGUAGUCGGUGGGGUGAAGGCCCACCGAGCCGAUGACGGGUAGCUGGUCUGAGAGGAUGGCCAGCCAGACUGGGACUGAGAGACGGCCCAGACUCCUACGGGGGGCAGCAGGGGGGGAUCUUGGUCAAUGGGGGAAACCCUGAACCAGCGACGCCGCGUGAGGGAAGAAGGUCCUUGGAUCGUAAACCUCUUUUGCCAGGGAAGAAGGCCUGAGUACAAGCUUGGGCUUGACGGUACCUGGCGAAUAAGCCCCGGCUAACUACGUGCCAGCAGCCGCGGUAAUACGUAGGGGGCGAGCGUUGUCCGGAUUUACUGGGCGUAAAGAGCGCGUAGGCGGUCUGAAGAGUCGGCUGUGAAAUCUCUGGGCCCAACCCAGAGGGGUCGGCCGAGACCUUUGGACUUGAGGGUGGUAGAGGAAGGUGGAAUUCCGGGUGUAGUGGUGAAAUGCGUAGAGAUCCGGAGGAACACCAGUGGCGAAGGCGGCCUUCUGGGCCAUACCUGACGCUGAGGCGCGAAAGCGUGGGGAGCGAACCGAAUUAGAUACUCGGGUAGUCCACGCCCUAAACGAUGGACGCUAGGUGUCGGGGGUAUCGACCCCCCCGGUGCCCGAGCGAACGCAGUAAGCGUCCCGCCUGGGGAGUACGGCCGCAAGGCUA